GAUGAAGAACGCAGCGAAAUGCGAUAAGUAAUGUGAAUUGCAGAAUUCAGUGAAUCAUCGAAUCUUUGAACGCACAUUGCGCCCGCCAGUAUUCUGGCGGGCAUGCCUGUUCGAGCGUCAUUUCAACCAUCAAGCCCCCGGCUUGUGUUGGGGACCUGCGGCUGCCGCAGGCCCUGAAAAGCAGUGGCGGGCUCGCUGUCACACCGAGCGUAGUAGCAUUCAUCUCGCUCUGGGCGUGCUGCGGGUUCCGGCCGUUAAACCACCUUCAUAACCCAAGGUUGACCUCGGAUCAGGUAGGAAGACCCGCUGAACUUAAGCAUAUCAAUAAGCGGAGGA
rnacentral:misc_RNA from 1 species